GUUUCAAUAAGGUCCUGAGGAGACUUGCCUGUGAGUUUGGUGAACUCAAGAACAAAGUGUCAUUUGAUUUCUAUGAAAAUGCUUCCUGACACCUGCGCAGUCCUGGUGCUCCUAUUAAUGCUAGGGAAGAGCAAUGGAGACUCAGUGACCCAGACAGAAGGCCUGGUUACUGUCACAGAGGGGUCACCUGUGUUGCUGAAUUGCACAUAUCAGACUACUUACUCAAAUUCUUACUUUUGGUGGUAUGUGCAAUAUCUCAACAAAGCCCCUAGGCUACUCCUGAGAGGCAUCACAGACAACAAGCGGACAGAAUACCAAGGGUUCCACGCCACUCUCCAUAAGAGCAACAGCUCCUUCCACCUACAGAAGUCCUCAGCGCAGCUGUCAGACUCUGCCCUGUACUACUGUGCUGUGAGUGACACAGUGAGGGAGACUGUAGGGGAAGCUGCACACAAACCAAGGGUGCAGGAGGGCUGA